UGAGCGAAAAAUGCUUCCAUUUGGUAUCGACCAAAUUCGACUGGUGGUAGUGUACCUCUGCCGGAGUAAUUGUGAAUUUUAUCACCGCAGCAAAGAAUCACAAAGUAUGGAAUCUCCGCGCGGGAAAUUCAAAGUGGAGCAGCAAUGCAGCAAGGAUCAGAAUCUUUAAUCAGACUGCAAAACAAGCCACGAAACCAAUAAAAAAAAAUUAGAAGAAAUUCUAUCAUGCGCGUUAACAUUUUCAGCUUAGAAUUCCUUUAUUACUCUUGAAAA